UUUUAUGAUCGAGGAAGCAGAUGUGACAUUAUUAUAAGAAACACCUGCACUCUAUCAUAGAUGC
rnacentral:pre_miRNA from 1 species